UGCAUCGCUUCAACAUAUUACAGAGGAGCGCAAGCCAUUAUAGUGGUGUUUGACUUGAGCAGCGUCAGCUCUUUAGCACAUGCCAGGUAAGAAAUGAUGGUCAAAUUAUUGUACCAUUAAAAUACAAGUUGAGGAUGAAAAAUGUGUGUGUGUGUGUGUGUGUGUGUGUGUGUGUGUGUGUGUGUGUGUGUGUGUGUGUGUGUGUGUGUGUGUGUGUGUGUGUGUCUGUGUGUCUGUGUGUCUGUGUGCAGGCAGUGGCUGGAGGACGCCAUGAAGGAAAAUGACCCAUCCAGUGUUUUACUGUUCCUCGUCGGCACCAAGAAGGACCUCAGUUCUCCUGAACAGUUGGCUCAGAUUGAGCAGGAAGCCAUCAGACUCUCUGAGGAAAUCAAAGCCGAGU